rnacentral:rRNA from 1 species
GUGGGGAAUUUUGGACAAUGGGCGAAAGCCUGAUCCAGCCAUGCCGCGUGCAGGAUGAAGGCCUUCGGGUUGUAAACUGCUUUUGUACGGAACGAAAAGUCUCUUUCUAAUAAAGAGGGAUCAUGACGGUACCGUAAGAAUAAGCACCGGCUAACUACGUGCCAGCAGCCGCGGUAAUACGUAGGGUGCAAGCGUUAAUCGGAAUUACUGGGCGUAAAGCGUGCGCAGGCGGUUAUGUAAGACAGUUGUGAAAUCCCCGGGCUCAACCUGGGAACUGCAUCUGUGACUGCAUAGCUAGAGUACGGUAGAGGGGGAUGGAAUUCCGCGUGUAGCAGUGAAAUGCGUAGAUAUGCGGAGGAACACCGAUGGCGAAGGCAAUCCCCUGGACCUGUACUGACGCUCAUGCACGAAAGCGUGGGGAGCAAACAGG